rnacentral:rRNA from 1 species
GACGAACGCUGGCGGCGUGCUUAACACAUGCAAGUCGAACGGAAAGGCCCUGCUUUUGUGGGGUGCUCGAGUGGCGAACGGGUGAGUAACACGUGAGUAACCUGCCCUUGACUUUGGGAUAACUUCAGGAAGCUGGGGCUAAUACCGGAUAGGAGCUCCUGCUGCAUGGUGGGGGUUGGAAAGUUUCGGCGGUUGGGGAUGGACUCGCGGCUCAUCAGCUUAUUGGUGGGGUAGUGGCUUACCAAGGCUUUGACGGGUAGCCGGCCUGAGAGGGUGACCGGCCACAUUGGGACUGAGAUACGGCCCAGACUCCUACGGGAGGCAGCAGUGGGGAAUAUUGCACAAUGGGCGGAAGCCUGAUGCAGCAACGCCGCGUGCGGGAUGACGGCCUUCGGGUUGUAAACCGCUUUCGCCUGUGACGAAGCGUGAGUGACGGUAAUGGGUAAAGAAGCACCGGCUAACUACGUG